rnacentral:rRNA from 1 species
AUACGUAGGUGACAAGCGUUAUCCGGAUUUACUGGGCGUAAAGGGCGUGUAGGCGGUCUUGCAAGUCAGAAGUGAAAUUCCUGAGCUCAACUCGGGCGCUGCUUCUGAAACUGCAGGACUUGAGUGCUGGAGGGGAUAGCGGAAUUCCUAGUGGAGCGGUAAAAUGCGCAGAUAUUAGGAAGAACACCGGUGGCGAAGGCGGCUAUCUGGACAGUAACGGACGCUGAGGCGCGAAAGCGUGGGGAGCAAACAGGAUUAGAUACCCCGGUAGUCCUGGCAGUAAACGAUGUAUGCUGGGUGUGAGACUAGCGAUAGUUUCGUGCCGAAGUUAACGCGAUAAGCAUACCGCCUGGGGAGUACGGUCGCAAGAUUGAAACUCAAAUGAAUUGACGGGG